UCUCAGCCGAAAGAGGGAGACAGUGAGGCGUUCAAGAAAAUGCCGCUUAAACCAACGGUAGCUUUUUCAAGCCACCCGAAACAGCCCAAAAAGCCAUCGAAUUCUUAGGCUUCCGUCACGCUUUCAUCAAACUUGUUCGAUGUUUAAUGCUGGCCUAACUCUAUAUAAACUCUUCAAAAGCCACCAUUUUCAAUUUCUUCGUUCCAUCAUUAUCUUCUUCCGUGACAUCCCCAAACACUCUCUCUCUCUCUCUCUCUAGAUUACUGGUCUGAAUGUGACUUCCAUUCAAUCGAAGGAAAUAUGCACUCAAGCUUUGAAGAACCUAUAUGUUUGGUCUUAUAGUAGAAUCAACUAUCUUACAAAUUUGGGAUCUAUCAGCGAAUAUUUGGUCCACGGGGUGUAACUGGAAGCAUUUUUCCUGAUUUGUAACCAAAAGUGCAGUGAUAUUGAUUACAAUUGACUUAAGUUACGUAAAUAUUUCAUAUUUGAGAUUUAUAUUGACUGGAACUAACCAGGAAAACAACAGCUCCAUUGUUCUUGGAAAGCAGACAACUUACUAGUUGGAAAGAUUGCUGGAGAAGUAAAUAUGUAUGAGCCAGAUUCCGAUGCUGUUCGCUGGGGUUUUAAUUUUCUUGAUGUUGACCAUAUAUUUAGUUCUACUUAUUAUGGUGAUAACAACCAAGGUGAUGUGAACAUCUGGCGUGAACAGUACAUCGGAGAUGAUAAUUACAAUACAGACUGUAACAGUGUAGAGAACGAUGAGACUAUUGCACAUGCUCUUCAAGAAGAAUAUUCCCAACUAACAAUUGCAGAAGCAUCUGAAUCUUCACAUCCAAAGGAGGAGCACUUGAAAGUAUCAUCUACUACUGCUCCUGAUUGGCUUAAUCCAUCAUCGAGGAACUAUUAUUCUGGCUAUAAGGGUGGCCAGGUAGAACCAGAAUCAGAUGAUAUGGGGCCCUCAAGUUCAUGUUCUAGUCCUGGAAAUAGAUCAUAUGAUGGGGAGGAGUAUUCCUAUAAUCUGGAGAUAGCAGACGAGUCUGCACUGGAUGGAGAAGUAGGCAAGAGGUUGAACCAAAUGAUUCCUGUUCCUCAUAUUCCUAGAAUUAAUGGUGAUAUACCUUCAAUUGAUGAAGCAACUUCUGAUCAUCAAAGGCUGCUAGAUAGAUUGCAAUUGUAUGACUUAGUUGAGCACAAGGUUCAAGGUGAUGGUAAUUGUCAGUUUCGUGCUUUAUCAGAUCAAUUCUAUCGCACCCCAGAGCACCACAAAUUUGUAAGACAGCAAGUUGUUAAUCAGCUUAAGUCUCAUCGUGACACAUACGAGGGAUAUGUUCCCAUGGAAUAUGGUGACUAUUUAAAGAAAAUAUCCAAGAGUGGUGAGUGGGGAGAUCACGUGACAUUGCAAGCAGCUGCAGAUUCAUAUAGUGUAAAAAUUUUUGUGGUCACCUCAUUCAAGGAUACCUUUUCCAUCGAGAUUCUCCCGAAAUCUCAAAACUCCAAACGAGUCAUUUUCUUGAGCUUUUGGGCAGAGGUGCACUACAAUUCUAUCUAUCCUCAAGGAGGUGACUACCCUUAACUUUUCUUAAAAAGAGAAUGAGAUAUAGCUUUCUGCUGGAAAAGAACCUCUUGGGACUAUUCCAACUUAACUCAAGUGCUGAACCUAAUUGUUAGAAUUACUGCCUUGUGAUUCUAAGAGGAAGAAAAAGUGGUGGCAUUUUGGAAAUUAGCAUUAGAAGCUUCUGGCUUUGUGGUAAAGCACACAGUUCCCUUCUCCAUUCAUCCUUGGCUUGUGCUUGUCUCCUGGUGCUAGACUAUGCAUUCUUAUAUUUAUACCUUUCAGUUCACUAACUUCUACUGUAGAUACAUAUAUAGCAUAGAUGCAUUAUGUCUUUUGUUUUAAUUUUUUUUAUUUUUCUUUAUUUCUCAUUGUUGUGCAAGUAUGCUGCUAUUUUUGCAUGCAGGUAUUUUUUCUCUUAAUCGCAUGCUUAUGACAUUGGGAGUUUUAUUUGGAAAGGUUGAAUGUCACUAUAUGUAUGAUUUUUCAAACAUAUUUGAAAAUAAUGGGGAAAAGAGGUUACAUUUUUCAUUGAA